rnacentral:rRNA from 1 species
GUCUUUUUGAUUUUAAUUUAAAGUUUAACCUGCCCAUUGAAAAUUUUUAAAAGGCUGCGGUAUUUUGACUGUACAAAGGUAGCAUAAUCAUUAGUUUUUUAAUUGAAAACUUGUAUGAAUGGUUGAAUGAAAAAUUAACUUUUUUAAAAAAAUAAUUGAAUUUUACUUUUUAAUUAAAAGGUUAAAAUAAAUUUAAAAGACGAGAAGACCCUAUAGAGUUUUAUAAUUUUUAUUUAAUAUUUAAAAAGAUUAAUUAAAAUUUUAUAAAAGAAAAUAUUUUGUUGGGGUGAUAAUAAAAUUUAAAUAACUUUUAUUUUUUUUUUACAUUAAUAUAUGAAUUCAUGAUCCAUUAUUGAUGAUUAUAAAUUUAAAUUACCUUAGGGAUAACAGCGUAAUUUUUUUUUAAAGUUCAUAUUAAUAAAAAAUUUUGCGACCUCGAUGUUGGAUUAAGAUUUAAUUUUAGGUGCAGCAGUUUAAAUUUUAAGUCUGUUCGACUUUUAAAUUCUU